rnacentral:lncRNA from 1 species
CCCUAUCAGGAAAAUCGUUCAGGGAAAGAAACUCCAAAACCAGAAUAGGGUCUAGAGUACAUCUUCAGAGACAAUUAAACUCAAUUUCAAAGUUUCAUUCACACUGUUAUCUGCAGAAUGUGGCAAACAAUCGUCAGAGAGGAGCGUUCUCCAGUGUAGCUGCCAGGUAAAAACACCUUCUGUAGUAACUGUAGUUCUGUAAAAACACCUUCUCCAGUGUAGCUGCCAUUGUACCUUCUGUAAAACUCUGCCCAUGUGUGCAGCUGUUAUUGUUGUCACAAGAAAGUUUUGUGAACGUGGUUGAGGGAUGUAAACAAUGAAAGCAAAGGUAAGUGACAGGUAAAAUGUCUCUAUGUGGUCCUCAGAGGGAGGAAGGAAGGACUCAGAGAUAUUUCUAUGCUAUCAAAAGAUUUAAAAGUCCUAUUUCAACAUACAACUUUAAAAAAAAAAAAAAAGUACUGUCUAUACAAAAUCUCCUUCAACAAACUAUUUUCCCAUUCAGGCAAAGAACAGGCAGGAAGCGUGGAAUGUAUAGUGAACAAAGAAAACAUUCCCUGAGGGAAAUUUCUCACAUAAAUCACCAGCACACAUAUCUGCCUUGUCUCCCGCUUAACAGGAUGGAUAGCUGAAACCAUGCAUUUUCCACCUCCUUUGAAAAGACGUAUUUUCUUGCAAUCUUCUCCCCCAAGCCCCGGGAGCAGCGGGCGGUCCCGCGGGGACGGGGGUGGCGCUCUCCAGGGUCCUGCACUGAAGGCUCGGCAGCGCCGCUGGGUCAGGGCCAUGGAGCAAGAACACGGCUCUGACUUCUACACAGACCACAGCAGAAGGUACUACUGGAGCUCUGCACCCACUUCUGAUGGGACUCGGAAGAAAGUGUGCGUGUUCAGGACACCAGGCACCAAUGAACAGACAUGUGCAUACCUGUGCAUAAGCAGGGAAGGAAAUUGUUCUCAGCUAGCGUUGCCAGGUAUGUAUCCUUCCAAUCAUCACUAUUAUGUGUAAAUAUUUAGUAAUGCAGUCAAUUGCAGUUUUGGUGUUUUUUUAUACUUCUGCAUUCUAAUAGCAGUCUUUGAGGGGAUGCAUUCACUUUUGCAAAAUUGUGGGUUUUUUAAGUGAAACAUAAUAAAAUGUGAA